rnacentral:lncRNA from 1 species
AGAGAGGGAGACUGCCACAGUCAGGAAAAGGCCUUGAAUCCAGGGGUGCCUGGCUGGGUCUCUUUCCUGAGUAAUGACCAUAUCUCACCCUAGAUCCUUUUCUCGCUAGGCUUUGGCCACCUUGGCCUUCUAUAGAUGGCUUAACGUUUUUCAUGCCUCAGGGCCUUUGCACAAACAGUGCUCUCUGCUCAAGGUAUCCUCCUCCCAGAGCUAAUCACGAGUGGCUCUUUCCCCUGCCCCUGCUCUAUGCUCAAAUGUCACUUCUGAGAGAGUCCUUUCCCGGCCUCAGUAUUUCCUACCAUGAUCCCCACUUCCUUCCUCACAGGGCACUGUGCUUAUCUUGGGUGUUUUCUAGUUCAGCUUCUUGCUGUAUGGCUCUUCCGGUAGAGCACGCCUCCUCCGGGCAGGGUUUGAGUGUCCAGGUUUCCUAGGUCCCUGCAAAGAAUGUUCAGAGAAGAUGUGAGGGGCCCCUGAGAGGCAGAAACCCCCACCAAGGAGCCACAGCUCUUAGGCCUGCCGAGAACCCCUCCAGUGGCCAGCCUUGCCCUGUCCCCAGGACCACCCUGGCCCUGCCCUCGAUUGCUCAGAGCUUCCCUUCUGUGGCCACCCCGAUGGCCCUCGUCAGAAUUUGUCCACAACCUAAUCACAGUUCUGCACCAUCCUUGGUCAGCCACAUGCAGUGUCUGCCUGUCCUGGCACAGGGUUCCCUCCAGCACACAACACGUGCCAUCCUGUGAGGGGCCAGUUAGGGUCCUCUCAGGGUGUGGGUGCUGAAUCAGACAUUGUCCCUGGCCUUAAGACUCCUAGUCUACUAGGAGGGAAAAACAAUUCCUUGCCCACCAGCUUUGUCUCUUUUGAGGAAAGAGUUCCCCAGAGGUCGGCAGGCCUUGCUCUUCCUCCUGCCUUUGUGGCUCCCUAGCUGGGAGGCCUGGGCCAAGUUAUCUCAUGGUGGCACUCUGGGUGGCACUUUGCUCCUCCGUAAAUGAGAAUAAAUCAUCUUCUGGCUGCAUCACCACGGCAGCUGUCUGUGCCGCCGUCCUGGUGGUGGCCUGCGCAGGGCUCUGGGAGUCAACCUGGGACUAGACCUACCCCCCUGCUUCCCACCUCCCAGGGGCCUCAGGAAGUUUCCCCUGAGUUAACUCUAUGAACUCACUUUCCUCCUCUGUAGAAAGGAGCGGACACGGUGCCCGCCUCCCAGAUCUGCUGUGAGAGGGAAGUGAGAGGAGGCUGUGCGGGUUAAGUCUGGGGCCGGCUUCAGAGCAACUGCCCAGUCUGCCUGGGACAUUAUUAAGAGUUACAGCGCAGGAGCCUGACACACAGCAGACUCGCCAUUAAUGUCAUCCCCUUCCUUCCUGCCCAAGAGGAUGGAUUCCAUCCUUGUGCACAAUCCUGGGGCAAUCGAGGGGGGGGGGUGGGCAGGGAGGGCAGAACCCCCACACCCCUCCCCUGCAUGACAGCUGGGUUUGCUACUCCCAAGUGCCACCAGCAGAGCCCAGAGUACAAGUAAAGCCAGCCCAACAGAACCAUCGUAGAAAAUCCACAGGAGCCUGUGAAACCUGAGUUACACUGCUGUAUAAAGAUCAAAGGUUCUUUGACAGAAGAGCAAAUCUCCCAGUUGGAGUUGUGGAGAAACCCACCAUUUCAAAUACCCAAGAGUUCUUACAGAAACCCGGCUGAGCUCCCG